UAUAGCCUCCUACGGGGCGCAGCAGUGGGGAAUAUUGGACAAUGGGCGAAAGCCUGAUCCAGCCAUGCCGCGUGUGUGAAGAAGGUCUUCGGAUUGUAAAGCACUUUAAGUUGGGAGGAAGGGCAGUAAGUUAAUACCUUGCUGUUUUGACGUUACCGACAGAAUAAGCACCGGCUAACUUCGUGCCAGCAGCCGCGGUAAUACGAAGGGUGCAAGCGUUAAUCGGAAUUACUGGGCGUAAAGCGCGCGUAGGUGGUU
rnacentral:rRNA from 1 species